rnacentral:lncRNA from 1 species
GUAUUCUGCACGGACUGCUGGGCAGCACUAGCACUCUGGAGAAGGUCUGCCGCUGUCUGCACUUUCCUGGUUCUAUGCAGGCAGAUGAGUGUCACAGCUGUAACUGAGGCACAGAGCAGUACACACAGUGGAGCCGAUUUCCGCGAUGGCGAGAGGGGGCACCGGAGGUGACAACAAUAACAAGACUGUCCUUCGGACAAGUUUUAGAUUCUCAGGAUGAUGGAGUGAGUGAUGGAAUAGGUUGCCAACUGUAGUUACUCCACUCAGCACAGAAUGGCUGCGGGGAAAUAUAAUCAGACAUGCCCAAAGAAGUCUGCUUAGGGUGAAACAAAUACCUUUGAGGUUUAAAUCAGGAAGGAGAGACUGUUUCUACAGGUGUCAUACAAAAAUCAAUACUGAGCCAAGGAUUAUUGGAUCCCAUAGAACCACGGAGACUUGGUAGUGAAAUUCUUCCAAAGCAUUCCAUCCGUGCAGGCAGAUGGUGUUCCUAGGUUUGGAAAUAUAAAUCCCAUGGGAAGUCAGCUGAAGACCAUUUUAUGCAUCACUCAUCCUGUUAGAGCCCUGUGCUGUUCUGUCUCUCUAUAAGACUGGCUGAAACCACCACGGUUGUUUACAAUUUAUGCUCUAACUUUGGAUCACCUAGUUAAUACUCUAACUCCGAUUAUUACCAAAGACAAUGUUCUAUAAAAGAUAUUGUCUAUUAGAAGGAUGCUUCUGCAUUAUUAAUAAAAUCACAGGGAAAAUGCAACAUUUUGGAUGUCACAUCUGAUAAGUUGGCAGUUAAAGAACAGAAACAGCAAUAAGACUGCGUGGCUACAUUUUCCCAGUGCCACCAACUGGGAUUUAAGCUGACUAACAUUUUGAAAGCCCAGCCCAUUUCAUUCACAGCAGGAUGGCAGUGGGUGACUGAUCGUACCCGCCAGCUGGCUAAUGUCAUAAUUAACAAAGUUGCUACUACAUCUGCAAAGUUUAAUCGAAAAAUUUGCCAGUGAUAUGAUGGCCUUGUCACAGAGAUCACAAGGGACACGGAGUUGACUUUUGCUCAAGGUGGAACGACAGAGCUGUGUAGGCAAGAUGAGAAAUUGCGAACUUGUUCGGCCAAAGGAGGCUAAUAAUGAAGGGGCCGGGAAGGAGGCCAGUGCUACCAGGGUUAUCUCACAACCUCAGAUGCUGGAUAAGUCGACGGAGGCAGAAUCGCUUUGGGAUGACAUUCAGAAAGCCUGGAGUGAUUACUUGCAAGAGAAAAGCCUACCUAUUCUUUCCAAGGUGCAGGAAUAUUCCCCUGACCUGCUCAUCCAGUGGUCCAGUAAUGAAUUACUGGAGACCUGCCUUAGACAAAGAAUGCACUCGGAGCCCCAACACACCUAAAGCCAUGCUUUGAAGGAUCUGCCAAGCUCACUUUUAAUCAUGAGAAAGAAAUUACCCACACGGAGUCAGCAGAAAAUGAGAAAGUAGAGCUCGUGCUGUGAAUAAUUCCAGCAAGUGCCAAGGGGCUAGUUGAGGAAUGGCUUCAUGAGAUGUUAGUCUAAAACAGCACCUUGGAUCUAAGCAGCACCUUUGAGAAAGAAAAGACUGCUUCAAGAAUGUCUAGUUGCACCUCCUUUCCGUAUGUGGCCUAAAUGCCUAGGUUGGAUCAAUAGUUUAAUUUUUUUAUUGAACUGUUUAAUAUUGACUAUGGACUUACAUUCACUUUUACUGUUUUCUGUAUAUUUACUUUUGCUUGAAGUGUUUUAAUAUUGACUAUUUACCUCUGCUCAUUUUUAUUGAUUUUCUGUAUUUUUUCAAUGAAAAUUAUAAUAAAAAUUAUUUUUGUUA